rnacentral:rRNA from 1 species
UCCUGUUGAUCCUGCAGGAGGCCGCUGCUAUUAGGAUUCGAUUAAGCCAUGCAAGUCAGGGCAGCAAUGCCCGGCAGAUUGCUCAGUAACACGUCGAUAAUCUACCCUAAGGUUCGGGAUAACCUCGGUAAACUGAGGGCAACACCGGAUAGGGGAAGCAUACUGGAAUGUGGCUUCCCUUAAAGGCAACGCCUUAGGAUGAGUUGGCGGCGGAUUAGGUAGUUGGUGGGGUAAAGGCUCACCAAGCCGACGAUCCGUAUGGGCCUUGAGAGAGGGAGCCCAGAGAGGGACACUGAAAUACUGGUCCCAGCCCUAAGGGGUGCAGCAGGCGCGAAACCUUUACAAUGCACGAAAGUGUGAUAAGGGAAUCCUGAGUGCUCAUGCACUGCAUGGGCUUUUGCCAAUGCUAAACCCAUUGGCGAAUAAGUCGUGGGUAAGACUGGUGCCAGCCGCCGCGGUAACACCAGCGCCACAAGUGGGGGCCGCUUUUACUGGGCCUAAAGCGUCCGUAGCCGGUCAUGUAAAUCCUUUGUGAAAUUGUCAGGCUUAACCUGACAGAUUGCAGGGGAGACUGCAUGCACUCGAGACCGGGAAGGGUCAGGGGAAUUGCAAGGGUAGCGGUAAAAUGUUAUAAUCCUUGCAGGACCACCUGUGGCGAAGGCGCCUGACUGGAACGGUUCUGACGGUGAGGGACGAAAGCUAGGGGAGCGAUCCGGAUUAGAUACCCGAGUAGUCCUAGCUGUAAACGCUGCGAGCAAGGUGUUGCAUAUUCUUCGGGAAUAUGCAGUGUCGAAGAGAAGUCGUUAAGCUCGCCGCCUGGGGAGUAUGGUCGCAAGACUGAAACUUAAAGGAAUUGGCGGGGGAGCACUACAAGGGGUGCGGCGUGCGGUUUAAUUUAACUCCACACAGAAAAUCUCACCAGAGGCGACGGCAGGAUGAAGGUCAGAUUAAAGGUUUUACCUGACGAGCCGAGAGGUAGUGCAUGGCCGCCGUCAGCUCGUGCCGUGAGGUGUCACGUUAAGUCGUGCAACGAGCGAGACCUGCACCUGCAAUUGCCAUCGACAACUUCGGUUGGAUCGGGCACAUUGUAGGGACUGCCUUGGCAACAAGGAGGAAGGUGCAGGCAACGGUAGGUCUGUAUGCUCCGAAUCUUCUGGGCUACACGCGCGCAACAAUGGUAAGGAUAAUGGGAUACAACUCCGAAAGGAGAAGUCAAUCCUCUAAACCUUAUCUUAGUCUAGAUCGAGGGCUGGAACUCGCCCUCGUGACACUGGAAUCCCUAGUAAUCGUUCUUCAUUAUGGAACGGUGAAUAUGUCCCUGCUCCUUGCACACACCGCCCGUCAAACCACUCGAGCCGGGUCUAGGUGAGCCUCAGCUUAUUGGCUGUGUCGAACCUAGGCUCAGUGAGAUGGGUUAAGUCGUCACAAGGUA